AUUGAACGCUGGCGGCAUGCCUUACACAUGCAAGUCGAACGGCAGCACGGGAGCAAUCCUGGUGGCGAGUGGCGAACGGGUGAGUAAUGUAUCGGAACGUGCCCAGUCGUGGGGGAUAACGCAGCGAAAGCUGUGCUAAUACCGCAUACGAUCUAUGGAUGAAAGCGGGGGGUCGCAAGACCUCGCGCGAUUGGAGCGGCCGAUAUCAGAUUAGGUAGUUGGGGGGGUAAAGGCCCACCAAGCCUGCGAUCUGUAGCUGGUCUGAGAGGACGAUCAGCCAGACUGGGACUGAGACACGGCCCAGACUCCUACGGGAGGCAGCAGUGGGGAAUUUUGGACAAUGGGCGCGAGCCUGAUCCAGCAAUGCCGCGUGCAGGAUGAAGGCCUUCGGGUUGUAAACUGCUUUUGUACGAGACGAAAAGACUCGCUCUAAUACAGUGGGUACAUGACGGUAUCGUAAGAAUAAGCACCGGCUAACUACGUGCCAGCCGCCGCCGUAA
rnacentral:rRNA from 1 species